AGUCCACAUCGACGGGGAGGUUUGGCACCUCGAUGUCGGCUCAUCACAUCCUGGGGCUGUAGUAGGUGCCAAGGGUUGGGCUGUUCGCCCAUUAAAGUGGUACGCGAGCUGGGUUCAGAACGUCGUGGGACAGUUCGGUCCCUAUCCGUCGCAGGCGUAGGAAAUUUGAGAAGACCUGUCCUUAGUACGAGAGGACCGGGAUGGACGUACCUCUGGUGUACCAGUUGU
rnacentral:rRNA from 1 species